UAAUCUCUCAACACAAGAAAACUUUUUGUUCCUUGUGCUUGGAUGGUGAAAGUUGCUGGCGCAAACAACUGUCAGCUCUUUUUAAAUGCAUUAGCAGAGCAGUGUAGGACUGGCCUCAGUUUGAUAAGAGACAUUUAUCUAUGCUGUCGCUGGAUUUCCUCUGUGUUCAGCUUCUAAACGUCUUCCGACUGUCUCUCCAGAGGCAACAUAACUCAUU
rnacentral:misc_RNA from 1 species